rnacentral:rRNA from 1 species
AGGGAUCAUUACAAGUGACCCCGGUUUACCACCGGGAUGUUCAUAACCCUUUGUUGUCCGACUCUGUUGCCUCCGGGGCGACCCUGCCUUCGGGCGGGGGCUCCGGGUGGACACUUCAAACUCUUGCGUAACUUUGCAGUCUGAGUAAACUUAAUUAAUAAAUUAAAACUUUUAACAACGGAUCUCUUGGUUCUGGCAUCGAUGAAGAACGCAGCGAAAUGCGAUAAGUAAUGUGAAUUGCAGAAUUCAGUGAAUCAUCGAAUCUUUGAACGCACAUUGCGCCCCCUGGUAUUCCGGGGGGCAUGCCUGUUCGAGCGUCAUUUCACCACUCAAGCCUCGCUUGGUAUUGGGCAACGCGGUCCGCCGCGUGCCUCAAAUCGACCGGCUGGGUCUUCUGUCCCCUAAGCGUUGUGGAAACUAUUCGCUAAAGGGUGCUCGGGAGGCUACGCCGUAAAACAACCCCAUUUCUAAGGUUGACCUCGGAUCAGGUAGGGAUACCCGCUGAACUUAAGCAUAUCAAUAA